UACAGAGGGUGCAAGCGUUAAUCGGAAUUACUGGGCGUAAAGCGCGCGUAGGUGGUUUGUUAAGUUGGAUGUGAAAUCCCCGGGCUCAACCUGGGAACUGCAUCCAAAACUACUGAGCUAGAGUACGGUAGAGGGUAGUGGAAUUUCCUGUGUAGCGGUGAAAUGCGUAGAUAUAGGAAGGAACACCAGUGGCGAAGGCGACUACCUGGACUGAUACUGACACUGAGGUGCGAAAGCGUGGGGAGCAAACAGGAUUAGAAACCCGGGUAGU
rnacentral:rRNA from 1 species